rnacentral:rRNA from 2 species
CGUUCCCAUACCGAACACGGAAGUUAAGCUCUUCAGCGCCGAUGGUAGUUGGGGGUUUCCCCCUGUGAGAGUAGGACGCCGCCAAGC